AUUGAACGCUGGCGGCAGGCCUAACACAUGCAAGUCGAGCGGAUGAAGGGAGCUUGCUCCUGGAUUCAGCGGCGGACGGGUGAGUAAUGCCUAGGAAUCUGCCUGGUAGUGGGGGAUAACGUCCGGAAACGGGCGCUAAUACCGCAUACGUCCUGAGGGAGAAAGUGGGGGAUCUUCGGACCUCACGCUAUCAGAUGAGCCUAGGUCGGAUUAGCUAGUUGGUGGGGUAAAGGCCUACCAAGGCGACGAUCCGUAACUGGUCUGAGGGGAUGAUCAGUCACAAUGGAACUGAGACACGGUCCAGACGCCUACGGGAGGCAGCAGUGGGGAAUAUUGGACAAUGGGCGAAAGCCUGAUCCAGCCAUGCCGCGUGUUUGAAGAAGGUCUUCGGAUUGUAAAGCACUUUAAGUUGGGGGGAAGGGCAGUAAGUUAAUACCUUGCUGUUUUGACGUUACCAACAGAAUAAGCACCGGCUAACUUCGUG
rnacentral:rRNA from 1 species